AAGGAUCAUUACCGAGUGAGGGCCCUCUGGGUCCAACCUCCCACCCGUGUCUAUCGUACCUUGUUGCUUCGGCGGGCCCGCCGUUUCGACGGCCGCCGGGGAGGCCUUGCGCCCCCGGGCCCGCGCCCGCCGAAGACCCCAACAUGAACGCUGUUCUGAAAGUAUGCAGUCUGAGUUGAUUAUCGUAAUCAGUUAAAACUUUCAACAACGGAUCUCUUGGUUCCGGCAUCGAUGAAGAACGCAGCGAAAUGCGAUAAGUAAUGUGAAUUGCAGAAUUCAGUGAAUCAUCGAGUCUUUGAACGCACAUUGCGCCCCCUGGUAUUCCGGGGGGCAUGCCUGUCCGAGCGUCAUUGCUGCCCUCAAGCACGGCUUGUGUGUUGGGCCCCCGUCCCCCUCUCCCGGGGGACGGGCCCGAAAGGCAGCGGCGGCACCGCGUCCGGUCCUCGAGCGUAUGGGGCUUUGUCACCUGCUCUGUAGGCCCGGCCGGCGCCAGCCGACACCCAACUUUAUUUUUCUAAGGUUGACCUCGGAUCAGGUAGGGAUACCCGCUGAACUUAAGCAUAUCAAUAAGCGGAGGAAAAGAAACCAACAGGGAUUGCCUCAGUAACGGCGAGUGAAGCGGCAAGAGCUCAAAUUUGAAAGCUGGCCCCUUCGGGGUCCGCGUUGUAAUUUGCAGAGGAUGCUUCGGGUGCAGCCCCCGUCUAAGUGCCCUGGAACGGGCCGUCAUAGAGGGUGAGAAUCCCGUCUGGGACGGGGUGUCUGCGUCCGUGUGAAGCUCCUUCGACGAGUCGAGUUGUUUGGGAAUGCAGCUCUAAAUGGGUGGUAAAUUUCAUCUAAAGCUAAAUACUGGCCGGAGACCGAUAGCGCACAAGUAGAGUGAUCGAAAGAUGAAAAGCACUUUGAAAAGAGAGUUAAACAGCACGUGAAAUUGUUGAAAGGGAAGCGUUUGCGACCAGACUCGCCCGCGGGGUUCAGCCGGCAUUCGUGCCGGUGUACUUCCCCGUGGGCGGGCCAGCGUCGGUUUGGGCGGCCGGUCAAAGGCCCUCGGAAUGUAUCACCUCUCGGGGUGUCUUUUAGCCGAGGGUGCAAUGCGGCCUGCCUGGACCGAGGAACGCGCUUCGGCUCGGACGCUGGCGUAAUGGUCGUAAAUGACC
rnacentral:rRNA from 1 species